ensembl:lncRNA
UUCAAAGGCUGAUGGAGCACAUUACAACCUUCUGGACUGCUGUGUGCUUUAACCCUCCUGGCUCUCCAGUGGCUCAGGAGGGAUUUUCAUCUCUCCUGAACAUCUCCAUCUGCUAUCAGAGACACUGAGCCGUGCUGCAAGCGUGGAAUGAAAUGCAAGGGGAGAAGGGAAAAAGCAUUUGAUUCCUGUCAGGUGCCUAUGGGAUCUGUUCAGGCCACAUCUAUUAGGAACCUGGCCUGUGCAGCCCAGAAGACAGCUAGAGAUGGAUGGUGCUGGCGUGCGGCCACUUCGGAAGACAGAGCUGGAUCAGCCUGCCGGGGACAGAGGCAGACAAAUGGAACCUGCAGGACAAGCAUGCCAUUACCUUGUUUGCCAAACUCAUUACAGAGAAGUUGCAAAGUUCCAGUAUGCUGCCCCUGGCCUCCGAGACAAAGCUGUCAGCUGGUUCGUGAAUAAUUCCAGGCCACAUUCAGGCAGCCCGUUGUCGCUUGGCGCCCAGCAUGCUGCAGGUGAAGAUGGAAGCUCCAGCCCCAAGGAGGAAUAAUGCUGACCCCCAUCAGCACCAGCUCCUCACACUCAGCAGAGAUCAGGUGCUCUGGGGCAGAAAGCCCUGACUCAUGGCAAUCCAAGCUUCAGACAAAGUUGGUUGGAGCACCAUGAUCAUAAACUCCAUCAUAGAUUGGCUAUCAGCAGGAUGGAGGAAGAAGUAUGUCAUAACUUCUGUAACAGACUGCAAAUGCUUUGGCCAAUGGAUUGAUGUGCCCUGUGAUUUAACAGGUGGCUGCAUGCUUCGCAGAUGAAUCGAUAUGGAGGAAGAAAGCCCUAAUUUGCUGCAUCCUUUGACUUUUCAAGUCAUGACCAAUGGAGACGUUUCAAAAUCAUGGCUCAGAGGUACCUGGCAAAGCUCCCGUGGUGCUGCACCUUGCUGUCUCCUGCACUGAUGGACUAGGAGUGGCCAUCUACGUUUUUUAUUUGCAAAAACAGAAUCCCUUUCAGCACAGCCAAACUCUUCUCUUUGAGAUUCAACAUAGCCAAACUCUUCUUUUUUAAUCUCUCCAUCUGCAAAGCUUCCCAAAUACUUCUGUAAGCAUUAGUUGUUGGGAAAAGAUUGGGUUCUAGCCUUGAUAAGUAGGCUUGCACAGUGCUCAUGGUGGUUGCAAUACCACCGUCUGCACUGCUAGUGAUUGAUAUCUGACAGUCAGAAUAAAUUCUCUGUAUCUGUUAGGCUGACAGAGUCAGAUCUACCCCUGUUAGUCUUCUGCAAGUGAGAGCCUCUGGAGCUCCAUGAAUGUGCACAAAUAUGAAUCUGAAGCAUCACCAUCCUUGCAUAGGAGUAUGGACUCAAUGAUCCUUAUGGGUCUCUUCCAACUUGGGAUUUGCUAUGAUUCUGUGAUUUUAUGAGUUCAAUUGUACAAGUCUAUGUAAUUAAGCAAAAGCUUCUCCUUACAAACAUCAUUUGUAAAUGCUGAUUGCAUUCAACUGAGAUGUGAAAUAUCUGUUGACAUUAACCCAAGCUUUGGCCCAGGUGAGGAGCAAAGCUCGUAGAGCUGCUCAUGGAUUUUCCUCACAUUGAAGUGUUAAAGUUGAGAAGGACUGGAAUGACUGGUACCCACUGGGGUUGCCUGGAUCCAGAAGCCAGGAUCGUACGGUGCCUGUGAGUGGGGCUGCUGCUGCGCUGCGAAGGCCUGUCUGAAAGGCUCUGACAGGAAGAAAAUAUGUUUUCUGCAGCCCCUGGCUUCCUGCCAGCUGCACGAUAGCUGCUGCGGAGACAGACUAGCCCAGACGGUCCUAAUACAUCAUAAUAUUAAUACUGCUAUUUUUGUCUGUACAGCUUUUGAGAUAGCAUCAUCAAAACUGGACACGGUGCUCAGUUGGGCACUUCCAGCACUGCAGGGUAUCAGAGAACACCUACGAGAAACCAGAAUGUGAGCUGGGCAGUAGGAGCCCUGAGGCCCAUCUCCUGCACACUGUGGCAGUGAAGGGAAUUACCACAAAGUCAGCGUUGGAAGUGUCUGGCCUUCCAAGGACAGAAUGCGAGCACGGCUGCAUGCACAUGGAGCUGCUUCCCACUGGCUGGGCAUUGGUCCUGGGGGCUCUCAGCAAAAACUUUGCUGCCUCUGUUGGAAACUUCUGGACUGCACACAGCCAGUGCUGGGGCCUGAGGGGUGUGGGGUGGUUUGCUGCACACAUUGUGUUCAAGGUACAGAUACUUGGUUGUGCUAUCUGUAACAAGGCGAUUCCUGCAACAGCUAUACUAGGGCCUGAUGGCCGUGUGAGCUGGUGGACUGUGGGACAUUUGGGAUGGAGAUGGCUGAAGAAGUGGGAGCUGUCAGGAAACGUGCUCUUAUACCAAAUCAGGAAAAUGCUCCACAAGGUGAAAGGUCAUCCUGAAGAGUCCAGGGGUUCUGGGCACCUUCCCUGUAAGGAAUGGUAGGAAAUGAAUUGUAGGAAGUGAAUGGAAUGGAGGUGUCUUUCUGAUAGCUGGAUGACACAACAAGAAAGGGAUAUGAGCAAGGCCAGUGAGUACAAGGGCACACACACAGCCCUGUAUGCUGUACCCUAUAAUGUCAAUGCAAUGUCAGCCACUGGGUGCUCAUGAGCUCUGGGUCAAGUGUUGAGGCUGCAGUGAGGAAUGAAGGGCUCUAAGUGCUUGGCUGUGCUCUUCUCAUGGCUUCUGUGGGUCUGAGGGAAAGAAAAUCCAUGUCUGUGCUGAACAACUCAUCAUUUUAACAGGCAAGUGAACUAAACAAGUAUGUGGGGAGGGAGAGGCGUAUGCUUUGUCAGUGUAUGUUUUUCCUAAAGAACAUAUUUGAUGAAAACCAUCAGAGAGAACGAGCAGGCAGCAAAUAAAAAAAAACCCCAAACACAGGCAUUGCAGUGCUGGAAGAAGAAACCAUCUUUCCUUGGAGAAUGAUACUGUGGAAGAAAAGAGAAGGUACUGAGAGGGAAACAAUUGAUGUUAUAUGCUUUAAAAUAGCUGCAAAAGAAACUAUUCCUUUUGGCUGCUUCUUCAAGAAAGGUAUCUUGGAUGGAUGCUUUCCCCUGUAAUGAAAAUUAUAUGAUUUCCUCUUGCAGAUUGGAGCGGUGCAGUAUUCAUGUAGGGAGUAUUUUGAUGUCUUGCAUGGGUCAUUGAAAAACUGCCUGGAAAAUUGGAUCAUGAGCUACAGGGAACAUUCCUGCUGCAGCAGGAAAAUGCUCUGGAUAUAGCAAGUGACCGAAGGGUUCUGAAAUACCCUACAGUAUGCAGUAAUUGUUUCUACUUACAGCCACAGAAAUAUAUUUUAUUUUCCCUCCCUGAUUUUUUGUUGCUUUUUAAUAAUAGCCUUUCCUUCACAUUCAAUAGCCCUUCUUAUACUUCCAUUUUCCCUCUAUAUUAAGACCUGAUGAUCCAUUAAGGCAAAUCCUAUAUUUCAAAUUGCAUCUAAAUUGAUACUUCAGCAUGGUCCGCCUGCCUCAAAACCGCUUCCAUUCUCUUCUGCUGGAGAUCAGAUGGAUUUUUUCCUUCUGAAAACAAAUGAGAAUUUUGAUUAUAUGUGUCAUUCAAACUGCAAUUCCAUCUUAUUAAACAGUUCCAGGCAGUUGAUGCUGGGAACGCUGUAAUAAGGACUCCAACAUCUGAGACUGUUUAGCCGAAUUUGUUGGCCAAUUCCAUGUACUUAGUCAGAAAAUUCUGGCUGUGGCCAAGUGUACAAACUGAAAGGCAUAUGAAACAACAGAAAUUAGUGUUUUAUUAUGUCACUAAUAUUUGAAGUGCUUUAAGAUGGCAGCUGUUCAUUUCUGCACGUUACAAAACCUUAAGAAGAUUUUGUCAGUGCACACGUUGGCAUUGCAGGCUUGUUUGGCCUGAUGGUAAUAGGAGAAGGAGGAAUGGCUUUAGACUAAAAGAGGGGAGAUUUAGGUUAGAUGUGAGGAGGAAAUGCUUUGCUCAGAGGGCGGUGCAGUGCUGGCACUGCUGCUCAGAGCUGUGGUUGCCCAUCCCUGGAGGUGCCUGAGGCCACGGCUGGGCCCUGGGCAGACUGAGCUGCUGGGGGGCAACUGGGUGAUCUUUGAGGUCUCUUCCAACCUAAAGCAUUCUGUGAUUCUUUGGUUACAACUCAAGUGUGCAUUAAUCUUUUUUUCCCAAGCAGGUGCUGAUUCAUCAGCCCUGAUCCAAAGAAGGAUUCUGCAUUCUGCAUUUCUAGGCAUCAGAUGCUCAUGAAGGACAAGCUUGCUGGGAAAAUGCCUGACUGUAUGGCAGCUGAGGGGAUGAGUUCUGUCCACAGGAACACAGGACCUGCAUUUGUCCAUGGGAGGCCCUCAGUCAGGAAUGCUUUCCUAAGGAAGGUCCUUCCAAAUCUUUCUUUAAAAUAGAGCUAAUUGAUUUUUCUUAAUAAUUCACAUAUCAAUGCACAUCUCUAGUCACUCCCCAGAUAUCCAAGGAACAGACUGGGCUGUGGGGUAAGGUGAAUCCCUGCUAAAUCCAGGUUACUGAGCAGGGAGGAGUGAAAUUAAUGGAGGUGGAUGGAGAAUGCAAGUGAAGACGUAGAAUAACAUGACUGUGGGUGUGCAGAGGUCAGAUUUAAAAAACUACAGGUGGCAUCGAUUUGCUCAGGUCUCACCCAAAUGAGGGUUACCUAUGCACAUGUGCUGUGCAAACAGGAUAAAUUCCCCUGCCUUUGGUUAAUUGAUCCAGCUGGCUGGGAGACAGAUUCCUGCCCUCAGGCAUGGGAUUUUUUUAGGUUUUUGUUUCAUUCUUUUGGUGUUUUUUUUUUUCAAAUUCACUACUGAAUGUGAAAUGCAGCCUCUGCUGCUGGAGACUGCGGCGCAAAGGGGAUGUGCAGUGCAGCUGUGCGCUCCAUCCUGAUUCAGAGGUUGGCUGGGUUAAGGAGACUUCAGCCACCAGAGGAACAAACCAAUGGCCUCUCAGCACAUCUGUAGCUCCUGCCUGGAACCUGCACAACAACUUCCAGGUCAUAGCUAAUUUUUACCCCUCUCCUAUUUGCUCUGCUUCCCCUAAGGCCUCAUACAGAAAUACUUUCCUCCCAGCAGUGUCGGAGCAGACUGGGAAGCAUCGACUGGUGUUUAAGCCAAGGUUCCCCCCUGCAGAAUGGAUCCAGAGGAAUCCAACGCUCUGCACAUCACUGCAGCUCCCUCCACCCUAGGCAAAGAACAACUUGUAGGAGCUUUUCCCAUGGAUUGAGUAAGAUCCCAUUAAAAGGCCACCAGAGGGGGUAGCUUCCUCUGCUGCAGCGAAGACCCAGAGAGCAGCGCCAGCAUGGCACACAUUGCUGCUAUUAUUUAUAGUGCUCUACCUAUACUUAUGCAAGUGGUGCUAAUUAGUAGAUGGAAUUAGCCAACUGCUCUCGGCAGCAUAAUUGUAAAUAAUUUCCUAAUGUUUCACUCACUGAGUAAUGAGUUUCUCCUGGAAACACAAAAGAUGAACUACUGAUAAUCUGGCAGUUUCCAGCAAGAUGACAGACAUUAAUUAUAUGAGAUUAGGAUGUGAUCCUCCAUUUUAAGUCAGUUUGGGAUUUCUAGGCAGAGUUGAAUCUUAGGACUUAACAGACUCCCGUCUGCAGCAUUUUAUGGUCACUUGUUCGUUUGUUUUUCUGUGAUUUUAAGCCACCUUUUAGCUUUACUUUUCCCCCACACAUCAAGCCACCAGCAACUACUUUGCAGAUGGAACUGCUGGGCCUGAUUUCUGGCAAAGUUGUCCUGUAGUUAUACCUGAAAAGCAUAUACAGAGUCAAGAUAAUUUGUGUUUACAAAUGACUGUGCCAUCAGAGAAUUCCACUGCAUGUUCAGGGAUGGAGCUGGACUCCGGUUGCCUUUAUGCUCAGGCAGAUACCAACUGAAACAUGGGAUGUCAGCUCCAGAAGAGUGGUGCCAAUAACACCAGGAUGCAAAAUAUUCACUGACCGAGGUCAUGUCAGCAAACUGGACCUUAUCUUUGAUGUUUUUCAAGGGGCUUUGCUGACUGCUGAUGGUCCUUGAGAACUUCUUUUGAGCUAAGGGGUGAACACUGGAGCUGAAUUGGAAUCCCAGCUGCAUGGAGAAGCUCCAUCAGCUGACGCAGCUGUGUUUCUUCCUGAUUCAACAAGGAUUUUCUCAGGUUCUUCUUAACCAAGUCCUGACCAAAUCCCUCCUUCAGGAAGGUCGCAUUUAUCACUCGUGCAGGUAUGAAACCAGGAGCAAAGAUGUGGACUCAAGCUAAAGAAUUCCGUUUUUUACUUUUCUAGCUGAGGCCCAAUCAUUCUUAUGUAUUCUGAAUCAGACACUGGGUAGUUUCCAUAUUUGUAGGAAAAUGGAAUUUGGUUUAUGGUAAUCUUGCUGUUUUCUCCAUAUUCACUAGUUUUCUAUAAAUAAUACAAAUGCAUGAUAAUCACCUCUGGAACUGUUCACUAAAAUGAGAAAGGAGACGUUAUUCAUUAAAAUAAAAAGAUAUUCAUAGACAUUUGCUGGAAUGAAAUCCCCAAGCAUCAGGAUAUUCAGAAGCAGUGUUUGCUUUCUGAGCUUUUGCAAACAGACGGUUUCUAUUCCUGCUGCCGUUUGCUGCUGUGCCAACUUCGGCCUGCAACGAUGUCUUUUAAUUUCCCCACCUGUGCCCUGGGGAUGAUGACCCUGUGCCGUGUACACGGUGCUCCCCCUGCCUCCCCAGGGAAGGAGGGAGGGCACAGCAGAGCACAGCUAUAUGUGGAAGAAUAUCCUACUCCAGCCUCAGGAGCUGAGGUUCAACAAUCAUCACCAUUGAUGUUGCCUGAAAGCAAGAACCUUUGCAUUUCCCCCUGCAGCAGGUGGAGCCCAGCAGCACCGAUGCUCCCAGCUGCUGCCAGUUGUGUGCCCUCACCCAGCGCUGCACUCUGGGGCUGCCUAUACCUCCCACACGUUGCACAGCCUCCAUCUGCACUGGCAAAUCGUGGCGUUAUUUUCUCUCCCUGCAACUUUUCCAUCAGCAGAAACAUCUCUCACCUCAAUUCACCUAAUUAACUGUCAGGAGUUGAUCUUUGGGCUGAAAUUGAUAUCUGGAGUAGAAAUGUGUGAACAAGCUUUACUGAUGGAUUUUGUUAUUUUUUGGUAAAUGGAAAACAGACUGACAAAGAGCUAGUUCAGCUGAAGGUUACUUAAUCUAUUUGUUUCUAUUAUUGUUGUUUUUUCUUGCUGUUUUUUUGUUUUUAAUGUAAUAACUUGAUAUUGAAUUGAUUUGUUUACCAGGCUAGCCUUAGUCACAUCCCUCUUUUGAGGGCAAUUUUAUGGAACCCUUACAAUUGAUAAUAAGAGCAGUCUUUACAAGUACUCCCAUCCUUCAUUCUCCAGCCACCUUUCAGCCCCAUGCAGGUCAGUGAGCCCCACGCUGCAUCUCACCAUGAGCUGCUCAGAGUGCUGCCAGACUGUAUGGAUUUGGGCUGAGGGUGUCUGCAGAAAAUUUCUGCAGCUGCUUUGGUCAGGAGAAUACUUCAGAGAAAGAACACAAAGGGAAAUUGUUUUACUCAUCCUAGCAGAGAACAACCCAGCAAUCUGUCCAUUGAGAAGGUCCACAAGGAUGGAUAGUGAUAGGACAAGGGGGAAUGGUUUUAAACUGAGGCAGGCGAGGUUUAGGUUGGAUAUUAGGAGGAAGUUUUUCACCCAGAGGGUGGUGACGCACUGAACAGAUUGCCCAAGGAGGCUGUGGAUGCCCCAUCCCUGGAGGCAUUCAAGGCCAGACUGGAUGUGGCUCUGGGCAGCCUGGUGUGGAGGUUGGC